rnacentral:sRNA from 1 species
UGUUGCCCACCUGGCUGUCCAUGGCAAAAGUGGGUGGGGUCAUGUGCAUCCUCGUUCCACCUGAGUGUUUCCCGGGACAUCAGGAGGAUGUAUCCUGCAGCUGAAUUUACACAAAAGUGGAACAACUGGGCUGGAAGCUCUAUGAAAGAUGCAGAUGUACUUUGUAUGGACAUACAGAUUCUGUGAACAGCAUUGAGUUUUUUCCUUUCUCCAAUACUCUUCUCACAAGCUCUGCAGACAAGACCCUGUCUAUAUGGGAUGCAAGAACAGGUAUAUGUGAGCAGUCACUUUAUGGUCACAUGCAUUCUAUCAAUGAUGCCAUUUUUGACCCCAGGGGUCACAUGAUAGCAUCCUGUGAUGCCUGUGGGGUUACAAAGCUGUGGGACUUUCGGAAGCUGUUACCUAUUGUGUCCAUCGAUAUAGGUCCAAGUCCUGGCAAUGAGGUGAAUUUUGAUUCAUCAGGUCGAGUUUUAGCUCAGGCAAGUGGCAAUGGUGUUAUCCAUUUGCUAGAUCUUAAAUCUGGGGAGAUUCACAAAUUGAUGGGCCACGAAAACGA